UUGAACGCUGGCGGCAUGCCUUACACAUGCAAGUCGAACGGCAGCGCGGACUUCGGUCUGGCGGCGAGUGGCGAACGGGUGAGUAAUACAUCGGAACGUACCCUGUUGUGGGGGAUAACUAGUCGAAAGAUUAGCUAAUACCGCAUACGACCUGAGGGUGAAAGUGGGGGACCGCAAGGCCUCACGCAGCAGGAGCGGCCGAUGUCUGAUUAGCUAGUUGGUGGGGUAAAGGCCCACCAAGGCGACGAUCAGUAGCUGGUCUGAGAGGACGAUCAGCCACACUGGGACUGAGACACGGCCCAGACUCCUACGGGAGGCAGCAGUGGGGAAUUUUGGACAAUGGGGGCAACCCUGAUCCAGCAAUGCCGCGUGUGUGAAGAAGGCCUUCGGGUUGUAAAGCACUUUUGUCCGGAAAGAAAUCGCGCUGGUUAAUACCUGGCGUGGAUGACGGUACCGGAAGAAUAAGCACCGGCUAACUACGUG
rnacentral:rRNA from 1 species